rnacentral:rRNA from 1 species
GACGAACGCUGGCGGCGUGCUUAACACAUGCAAGUCGAGCGGUAAGGCCCUUUCGGGGUACGACGAGCGGCGAACGGGUGAGUAACACGUGGGUGACCUGCCCUCCAGCUCUGGGAGUAAGACCCGGGAAACCGUAGGGUCGUAAUACCGGAUAUGACUCCACGGUGCAUGUCGUGGGGUGGAAAGCCUUGUGCGGCUGAGGAUGGGCCCGCGGCCUAUCAGCUUGUUGGUGGGGUGAUGGCCACCAAGGCGACGACGGGUAGCCGGCCUGAGAGGGCGACCGGCCACACUGGGACUGAGACACGGCCCAGACUCCUACGGGAGGGCAGCAGUGGGGAAUCUUGCGCAAUGGGCGAAAGCCUGACGCAGCGACGCCGCGUGAGGGAUGACGGCCU